AAAGUGUUUUGAAAAAUGCUUCUUAUCAGCAAAGGAGCAGUUGAAAAUAGGAAAAAAAUGAAGGAAGAUAGGUUGAUUAAGCUGGAGGUGGAAAGAAGUUUCCUCAAGUGGAAGCAUGAACUGUAAAGCACAGGCUGUACAAAUAAAACAGGAGAGAUUAAAUCAUAAAAGUCAGGAUAGAUUGAUAUGAAAAGACAAAAUAAAUACUCCUUGUUGUUUAAAAAGAUACUUCAGGCCAGGUGUGGAAGCUCACGCCUGUAAUCCCAGCACUGUGGGAGGCUGAGGAGGGUGGAUUGCUUUAGCUCAGGAGUGCGAGACCAGCCUGGGCAACAGGGCGAAACCCUGUCUCUGCAAAAAAAGAAACACAAAAAUUAGGGCAUGGUAGCAUGAAUCUGUGUUUCCCGCUACUAAGGAGGCUGAGAUGGGAGGAUUGCUUAAGCCCAGAAGGCAGAGGUUGCAGUGAUCUGAUACCGCAACACUGCACUCCAGCCUGGGCGACAGAGUGAGACCCUGUCUCAAAAAAAAAAACAAAAAAAAGAAAAAGAAAGAAAAGAAAAGAAAAAAAACCCAACAACAGAACAAAACAAAAAAACUAUGCUUUAGUCCUUACUAGGUCAGAAACAGUGUCUGAAGCCCUACAAAAUCUAACAGAAGACAAGAAAGAAUCAGGUCUCAGACAGCAAACUAGAAUGACUUUCGCAGAGUCCUUGGGUCCAGAAAACAAGUGAGUAGAUGCUUCCUAAAGCUACAGUUUGAGAAUGCAAAAUGAACAAACACACUUACACAAGUGUUUACAUAAAAUUUGGGCAGUUUUGAAUGGACUAGAUCAGGAAGACAGUGUAAAAUAUUUAAAGAAUUACUAGGUGAAUUUCAGGGUGACAUCAUUUUUGUGUAUGUGAAUCCUAUUCUUUCCUGAGUG
rnacentral:lncRNA from 1 species